rnacentral:rRNA from 1 species
GGAUUAGAUACCCUGGUAGUCCACGCCGUAAACGAUGAGAACUAGGUGUCGCGGGUGUUGACCCCUGCGGUGCCGUCGCUAACGCAUUAAGUUCUCCGCCUGGGAAGUACGGUCGCAAGAUUAAAACUCAAAGGAAUUGACGGGGGCCCGCACAAGCGGUGGAGCAUGUGGUUUAAUUCGACGCAACGCGCAGAACCUUACCCAGACUUGACAUCCUUCAUACCCGGCCCAAAAGCUGGGGUGCCCGCAAGGGAAUGGAGAGACAGGUGCUGCAUGGCUGUCGUCAGCUCGUGCCG